AGAGUUUGAUCCUGGCUCAGGAUGAACGCUAGCUACAGGCUUAACACAUGCAAGUCGAGGGGCAGCACGUUGGUUGCUUGCAACCAAUGAUGGCGACCGGCGCACGGGUGAGUAACGCGUAUCCAACCUACCCUUGUCCAUCGGAUAACCCGUCGAAAGGCGGCCUAACACGAUAUGCGGUUCUCAGCAGGCAUCUAACGAGAACGAAAUGUGAAGGAGAAGGAUGGGGAUGCGUCUGAUUAGCUUGUUGGCGGGGUAACGGCCGACCAAGGCGACGAUCAGUAGGGGUUCGUGAGAGGAAGGUCCCCCACACUUGGAACUGAGACACGGUCCAAACUCCUACGGGAGGCA
rnacentral:rRNA from 1 species